UACGUAGGUGGCAAGCGUUGUCCGGAUUUACUGGGCGUAAAGAGCGCGCAGGCGGUCGUUCAAGUCGCGUGUGAAAAGCCCCCCGGCUCAACUGGGGAGGGUCACGCGAUACUGAUCGACUGGAAGGCAGGAGAGGGUAGUGGAAUUCCCGGUGUAGUGGUGAAAAUGCGUAGAUAUCGGGAGGAACACCAGUGGCGAAGGCGACUACCUGC
rnacentral:rRNA from 1 species